UGUAGGUAGCCCCAGCUCCUCAGGAAGCUGAAGAGGGAGUAUCACUUGAGCCCAGGAGUUUGAGGUUGUAAUGAGCCAUGAUUACACCACUGCACUCCAGCCUGUCAACAGAGCUAGACCCUGUCUAGAAAUAAAACCAAUGGACAGUGUGGCUUAGUGCCAUUGGAUUUGCCCACUUUGUUUCAUCCUCUGUGGCCCCAGCACAGGGACAACUGCUGCAGUUAAACUAUUAAAUGACGUUUCCUUAGCCAAGAUGAUUGGUUUUUCAAAGCAAGAUUGACAUUUCACCUUGACUUUAUUAACACUAUAAACAUUUAGGCAAGCAGAGAGAAAAGACAAAGGACCUCAAAGUGAUGUUUUGCUUUUCUUUUCCUUUUCAAAUUUAAAAUUUUAAUUUUGGUGUAAGUAAUUUGCCUUGGCAUCAGCAAUUUAUGUAGACCAGUCUCAAGCAUCUUAGGGGAGGUUAAUAUUUACAUGGAGGAAUCAAGCCAUCUUACUUAUGAUUCCGUCCACCCACCUUUUUAUGUGUCUUCUUAAUAUUGUUGACCUUAAAAAUUGUUUUAAUGAUUUUGAGCUUUUUGAAAGGAGGGACCAGGUGUUAUUUUACUAUAAGGAAUGUAACACAAUGGGCUAAUAUAUGUAAUUCAUCUUAACAUGAGCUGUGGUGGUCUAACAAUAAAUCUUACAAUAAUCUCCAUAAACAUUGUUUUUACAUGGCUUUAGUUUCUCUUCUUGUUCAUUUAAAUAGGUCAAGUCAAGCCAGUUUUCUUUUUUGUUGUUAACACAUCAUAACUCUAUUUAAUAACAGAAUAGCAUUUUUAAUACAGAAAAAAAUGAAGUACCUGAGAAUGAUAAAUAAGCUUACCACUCAGUUAACCACUGUUACUAUUUCAGAAUAAAAGUAAUACAUCUCAGUAAAUUCAAGAAGAAAUGCACAAUAUGAAAAAUACAAACCUUCCCCUCUUUACCUUCCACAAUAAUCCCUCUCCCAGAAUGAUUUUUAAUGCCUCUAAAAGGUAAAAGUAUCUUCUCUGGAGCCUGACUCCUGAGUUUGAGUUCCAUUUCAAUUCCUUACAUUGAAUUUUUGGCAAGAUGCUUUUUCUUUGGUAAAAUAGGGAUAAGAAUAUCUAUAAUACUAUUGUGUGAAUUAAGUGUAUUUAUAUCUGAAAAGCGUCUAAAACAAUCCUUAGCAUAUUUAAGUGUUAUAUAUCUGUUGGCUGGUACACCAGUAUGUAUAUAUGCUUGAAAAUUUUAUAUAACCAUUUACAUACUGGUCUGUAAAAAUAAAAAAUAAUUUUUUAUUUUUAAAAAUAAAAAAUUUUUAAUGAUGUAGGUGCAUAUGUUUAUGGGGUACAUGAGAUACUUUGAUACAUAUAUACAAUGCAAAAUAAUCAUAGCAUGGUAGACAGCAUAUUCAUCCUCUUCAAGCAUUUAUAAUUUCUUUGUUAUAAACAUUCUAGUUAUGCUUUUUUAGUUAGUAUAAAAUGUGCAGUAAAUUAUUGUUGACUGUAAUCAUCCUAUUGUGCUAUCAAAUGCUAGAUCCUAUUCUUUCUAUGUAGCUAUAUUUUUGUACCCAUUAAGCAUCUCUGCUCCUCGCCUGCCACCACACACCCCACUACUCUUCCCAGCCUCUGGUAACCAGCUCUACUGUCUACCUCCAUGAGUUCAAUUGUUUUAAUUUUUAGCUUAUCAUGGAGCUCUUUUGAAUAUAGAGGUACCUUAUUCUUUUAUAUCAGUGUUUAUAGUCUAUUAAUUUUUUAAACAAAUCCUCUAUUGGCAUUUAGUUUGUUUUCAGUUUUUUACUCUUCCAAACACUGUUACAAUGGAGAUAUUUGCAUAGAUAUUUUUGUAUACUUGUGGGAAUACUUUCUAAAAGGUAAGUCAAAAGGUAUAUGUGUCUUUAAUUUUGGUAUAUCUUGCUAUCUUGCCUUAGUAUUAGUAGCCAGCUGCUUUUCCCAUUAUAAUCCUGUCUGAAAUUGUUAUCCCUUCCUGUGGCUUUCAGUUUAACACCUACAGAAUUUUUUGCCAAACUGCAUUUAGAAAGGAAAUGCUAAUCCUCACUGGUAGAUCACAGGAUUACUAGUUCACAGAGGCAGGUGUGAUUGCAGCCCUUCCACAAGUGGAGCCACAUUUGAUCUGUAAUUUAGCCUUAGCAGGGAGUUACAUAACAGUGAUGCUGUUGCCGCUGGUUGUGAAGCCUUGACCUGUCUCUAAAGUUGUUUUUUAAUCAAGGUUUUAAUGGCAAAUAUAGGGAAAGAACAAUUAUGAAUUUUGAAAGGAAUAUUAGUCUGGAUUUAUGAGAAACUGUCUGUUUUAUGCUAAAAUGAGAGCACAGCUAAAAUGGCUGUGUCAUCUGACCAGAGGCCUGAAAAUCUAGAGUUGCUCUAGCAACUAUGAAGGCGUCAUUUCUUCCUGCCUUUAUGUUUAUGAAAAAUAGAGUUUUAAAAUCUAACUUCUUGAAAGGACUUUUUGAGGCUUAUUUAGUGUCUUGAGUAAUUUUAUAUUCUGGAUAUGUGUUGGCAUAUAUGUAUUCCAUUUUGCAGGUGACAUUACUGACUUUAAACUGAUUUUGAAAGACAGAUUUUGUAUGUGCAAUUAUGAUACAACAUAUAACCAAAUCCAGUAGGAAGUCAUAAAUUCUAGAAUUGUGAUAAUAGUCUACCUUUAAACCAGUCCUGUUUUUUAUGUCUUCAGUGGUUAACAUUUCAUUUAGGCAUAUUGGAUAUGAGGCAUUUUGAUGGGCAAAUAUUUAUCUCAUGCCCUGCCUCACAGGCAGUAUACACUAGACAAUAUGUGGUCGUAUUACUUAUAUGAGAAGUUAAUUGCUGACUCCUUUUCUUGACUCAGGUAAACACUCCUCAGUCUUUCCAGGAGCUAGAUGGAUGGUGUUAUCCAGCCAUCGUCCUUGAAGCCUAAAGCCAGGUGGAAAACCACCACCCUCACAGCAGGUGUCAAGUAUUUUGGUUUAGAAACUCUUUCCAGAUGAUGUUGAUCCUCAUAGUAAAGAAAGUAAUUAUGACAACUAAGGAGUGAUGUUGAUAACAUCAAUAAAAUAACAAAAAUAAAAUCUGCUAAGCCAUCUUUACUGUUUUUAUAGGAUAGACCAAAGCCCACCAGAAUUACUAAUGUAGGCAUUCAAAUUACUUACAGAGGGUUUCAAGCAUGAUAAUUUGUGAAGUCAGUGUGUAUAGUAAACAAAACAUGUUUUCAGUGUAUUCAGUGUGGAGCUAAUUGAUAAGGUGUUAUUAAAAAUAAUAAUGCUCAUGCCAUUUGUGUAGGAGCUAUCAGCAGCAGGCCGUCUUUAAAUUUAAAAAGAACAAAGGCUGUUCUCAAACUAAGAGCUUACUUUUUUAUUUAAUUUUGUUGCUGUUGGAGCUAUGCUCUGCACUUUAUACAUGUUAUUUCAGUAAUUCUUGUCCACAGAGUUUCUAGGCAGCAACUGUUUAUGCACAGUUUAAUCUAGAAACACAAUGAUCUUCCCAGUAAGUUUGAGACAGAAGCAAAUUUCUAAGGAAUCCUAACGGGGCAAAACUUCAUAUGUAUAAAUGAGUCAUAUGUAUCUACAUAGAUAUGUCUAUAGAUAAAUCUUCAACAUUUACUCUGACUUUUAUAGGAUGAUACAAGUCGUGAAUUUUAUUUAUCGAUUCAGUCAGGCUCAUGUAAUUGAUUCAUGCUUUGUUUGAUCUUGGUUAGCAAUUUUACAAACCCAUCAGAUUUGUAAACCAAAAGUAACUGAGACAAGUCUAAAUCAAUUUAGGAGUUUAUUUUGCCAGGGUUAAAGAUAUAUGCCCAUGACACAGCCUCAGGAGGUCCUGAGAACACGCCAAAGGCAGUUUGAGUUACAGCUGAUUUUAUACAUUUUAGGGGGACAGAAGUUAUAGGCAGACAUCAAUGAAUGCAUGUAAAAUGACCAUCAGUACAGAAGGGCAGGAUAACUCAAAGGUAGGGGAUGGGGAGGACUUCCAGUUCACAGGUGGAGUUAAUUUUCUGAUUGGCAAUUGGUUGAGCUAUGUUAUUAUCUAAAGACUUGCAAUCAAUAGACAGGAAUUUCUGGGUUAAAAUAAGGAGUUGUGGAUGCCAAGGUUCUUAUACAGAUGAAACAUCCAGAGAGCAGGCUUCAAGGAGAAUAGAUGGUAAAUAUUUCUUUUUUCUUCUUCUUCUUCUUUUUUUUUUCUUUCUUUUUUUUUUUUUAAAGACGGGGUUUCACCAUGUCGGUCAGGCUGGUCUUGAACUCCCGACCUCAGGUGAUCCGCCCGCCUUGGCCUCCAAAGUGCUUGGAUUACAGGCAAAAGCCACCAUGCCCGGCCAUGGUAAAUACUUCUUACCAGAUUUAAAAAGGUGCCAGACUCUAGUUAAUCUCUCCUGGAUCAGGAAAAGGCCUAGAAAGGGAAAGGGAUUCUCCACAGAAUGUAGGUUUCCCCCACAAGAGAACUUUGCAGGGCCAUUUUAAAAUCCAUAAAAAAUAUAUAUAUUUUGGAGUAAAAUACUUCAAUUUCUUUCAAUGUCUGCUGUCUGUCAUGUGUUGUAUCUUAUUGGUACAAAGAAUCUCUUUGGUCAGUCUUAAGAUUUCUGUUUUAAUGUUCAUGCUGGUUAAUUGUGCCUGAAUUCUAGAAGGAAGGUAUAAUGAGGCAUUCUGACCCUACCCCCAUUCCCAUCAUGGCCUGAACUAGUUUUUCAGGUUUACUUUGGAAAGCCCUUGGCCUAUUGAAUGAGGGUAAGGGGGGUCCAUUCAAUUGGCUGUAGGGCUAAGAAUUUUAUUUUUGGUUUACAGUUUCUUCAUUAAAGUUUUAGAAAUGUUGUCCAAUGAUAUCAAAUAAAAGUUAUGUCAGAGUUUCCUUUUUUUUUUUUUUUUUUUU